CCUUUGGCCCUGCUGGGGAUGCUGGGGCCGGCUCUCACCCUCGCCCUCCUGGUCCUCACCGGACGUCAGAGCCAAGCUUCCUCUGAAUCUCCUGACCCCAAGGUGGUAUUAUCGGGAGCACGUGUCCAGUUACCGGUCCCUCCCGGCAUCCGGACGGGGCAGGACUCCAUCAAAUGGAAGGUGCAGCUGCGUGCAACGACACAAGUUCACAUACUCGCUGGGAAGAGGGUUGCUGAUUCAGAUCACAAAUGUAAUCCUCUCAAAAAUAUGCGCUGUUUCAUCAUGGUGAACUGGACACUUGUCAUUGAGGCAGCUCAGCCGCAGGACAGUGGCAUCUACUUGCUGGAGGCCACCAAUGAGACGGGAGAAACUAAGAACCACAGAUUCAACGUGUCUGUGUUGGACCCUGUGGGGACCCCCCGGCUGCGGGUGCAGCAGGAAGCCCUGGACGGAGGGAAGUGCCGAGUGACUCUGUCCUGCUCCGUCUCUGGAGGUGGCCAUGCGAGCCACGGUGAUGUGAGCUACACCUGGUACCGGGGGAGCGAGCGGAUCCUGGGCCCGGGGAACCUGUCCACACUGGAGGAGCAGACCGCCGGCGGCCCACAUGCGUACACCUGCAGAGUCAGCAACGAUGUCAGCUGGGCCAACCAGACCCUCAGGCUCAGCCAGGGCUGUCUCCAGGAAAUCGGCCCCCAGCCCCUGUGGAUAAUCGUCGUGAGUCUCGGCGCCGCCGUACUGCUGCUGGGCGUGGGCACCCUGACCUGGGUCUGCGUGCGGAGAAGGAGGAGGAAGCGAGCAGAGCCCAGCCCCGAGGGGUCCUUGACGGUUUACGAAGAUGUCAACAACCUGCGCACCAGGAGCGGUCACGAGCAGCGGCAGGAGGAGCGGGACUCCCCCAUGGCCGGGACCACCAUCUACUCCAUGAUCCUGGCCCAGGUACACCCACUUCCCUCUUCCAGGCUCCACCUGUCUAUGGGGCUUUCUCUUGUGCUCCCCCCACUUCCCCGAACAAAAGGAAACCUCACACCCUUGAACGGCAGGGUAAGACCGUGGUCCUCCCGUAGCGCAGAAGGUGGCUGGCUGACUGUCGGGUGGUCUGGGGUCUCUGCAGCGGAGCGGAGCUGGGAGGCGGAUGCAGGAAGGUCCCCUUGCUGGGGCCAGGGGUUGUGGCCCUGGGGGAGCUUUUGGCGGUGGAGGAAGCCGGCUGGGAACUCAGCCUCUUUCCCCUCCCUGCUGCUUCUGAACUGAGGCCCCUGCACUUUCCGCCUGCUCUUGUUCUGCCUGUUCUCAGGGGAGAGGAGGUCUGUGUGGUUCUCUCUUACCUUCUAUGACGUCUCGACUUAACAAGAACAUGUAUGAAGUGCGAUGUCCGUUUUUGCAACAAAUCUUCUCUAACAGCCUCGUGAAGUAGUAGGUGUUAUGCAAACCUCAUUCCACAGAUGAGGAAACACUCCAAGGGUAACUAGUGUCCUUGAGGCCACAUGGCUGGGCGGUGGCGAAGCUGAGUGGAAUGGUUUCUGACAGUUUCUAAGAGUCUGGGCUUAUGGGAAGUGACCCUGGAACUGGGGACCACCCUCCAGUGUGGCAGCCGCCGGACAGUGGGGGGAGCCCGGGCUGCGCCUGUCUUAGGGAGACACUAUCUGCUGGUGGCCAGUGACAAGGAAGCUCUGGACAAAAUUAUUAUUAUCAUUAUUCUUAACGAACUUGGACCUGAAGUAGCAAGCUCUUCAGCUUGGGGGCCCAGCUGCAGGACAAAGAAAAUCCUUGGGGAAAUAGGAACAGACCUCAAAGAAAGAGCAGCAAAGGAGCCGGGGAGGGCAGAGAGGAGAAAUUCCCGAGCACGUGGCGCCUCCUCCCGCCCCGCUCGCUGCUAGUGGGCCCAGUCAGAGCCUUGAAAGGAGACGUGCUGACUAAGAAAUGUCCAAACUUGUAAGAAUGUCUAUGAGUUUACUUGAGCCAAAUUGACGGCAAUUGCCAGGAGGCAGAACCUCAACAGGUGGAGAAAAUGCAGCAGGCGGAGGGCGGCAGUUUUGCACCUUAGUUUGUGCACCGGGAUCGGAGGCAAAGAUGCACAAGGUUACGUCAGACCCACUGGGGACAGAUUCGGGAGGCAGGAGGGGGCAGAGCGGGGGUGGAAGACAUCUGGGGUUGGAUAGAAAGUGGAACGAUGGACACGCUCCCUCUGCACAGGUGGGCACAGCCAACGGCAGUGAGUGCCGAACACGGUCUCCUGCUCAGGUGGGAGCCUGUGCCCCGAGGGGUCUGGAAAGAGGAAAUCUCCUUGACGCUCUCGUGUUACCGGGGAGGUGCGGAGAUGUCACAGACAGGCCCGGUUAAGGUUCCUUAUUCAAGGAACACACUGGGCUGGGACGAGACUGCCUGCCGAGACUCGCUUCUGUCCCACAGUGUAAAUCCGAGGCUGUCCUACGUGGGGACUUUGUGUCUCUGAGCUUGCAAGGCUGCCCCGAGCUGGUCAGAUUCGUGAGUGACGCGCCGUCUUCGGCAGAUGCCAGAGCGAUGGACUCUCCCGGCCGGCCAGCCUCGCCCCUACAAGGGGCGUCUGGGACGUCCAGGGACAGUGAGAUGCCUCCUCCGCAGCUUCUUAGAAGCCGCCGGUCGCCUGCUCGGAGACCGCUUGUGUCGGGCCCAGAGGAGGAGGGUCUGCGAGGAGGGAGCCUUUCGUGCUGAGGAAAGAGCACCGGGGAGUUCGGGUUAAAGUUCAGCAUCUGCCGUGGACAGCACGGUGUGGGCACUUACGUGUUCGGAGCCUCAUCUGUGGAGUGAGGCGAACUGUGGUCACGCUGAUGGUGCGGCGGUGUUCGGGGGGUGCGGGGGUGUCACACAGCUGCAGAGCCCCGCAGGUGCUGGCCCACAAGAGAGAGGGACCGGCAUUCGGGUUGUGUGGCCUCCUGACUCAUCCAGCUUCUUCUCGACAACAGUCAGACCUUCCGUCUGGGCCCCGGCCGGGUAGCUGUGGUGGCUGGAGCACCAUCCUGCUACACCAAGGUCCUGGGUUUGAUUCUUGGUCAGGGCACAUAUCAGAAUCCACAACUGAUAUUUUUCUCUCCUCUCUCUCUCUCCCCCCCUCCCCUUCCCCAUUUUCUGUCUCUGAAAUCAGUAAAACGUAUCCUUAGGUGAGGAUUAGAAAAAAGAAUCAACCAAUGACUGCAAAAAUAAGUGGAACGACAAAUUGAUAUUCUCUCUGAAAUCAAUAAAUAAAAAAAUCGGCAAGCUUACGUUCGGGCGGGGUUGAGGGGGCGGCAGAAUGAGAACUCCCUGGGUGGGGCUACACGUGUGCUUCUGAAAUGAUUAUAUCUCUCUUCCCAUUAGCCGUCCGAUUUCACAUCACAAAGAAUGGAAAACACCCUCUAUUCGGUGGUGCAGCACUCCCAGAAGUCUGGCUCCAAGAAGAGGAAGCAGAGCCCCUCCC